CUCCCGGAGCCCCGUCCCCGUAGGCAUAGCCCUAUUUCCCGGUGCCGGAGCCAGGUGGGGCGGUGGGAGCUCUCUGCGCCCCCGCCGGGUUCUAGAGAACGCCUCAUCUCCCUAGCCCACCCCUAGGCAGACCAGCCCCGCCCCUGCCCGAGCCCCGCCUACCAGUUCCCAGCCGAGCUCCUCAAGCCUAGGGACCUACCAACCAAUCUUCGCCCAAGGGACGCCGCCCCGUGCAGACCCGCGCCAGGGCAUCCCACCCCCUCUCCCCAGCACUCGUCACCUCGUGGCCCCAGCCUCCCCACACGGAGGCAGAAACAGGUGUGGAGGAGAGAACCAGGAAGAGAAUGUGGACAAUGAGACUGCGUGUGUACUUCUAAAAACAGAAAAAAAAAAAACUGGAGGACGUGCCAGCUAAAGUGGUUGGAAGUGAUGGGGUUAACCUGGGAGAGCUUCGCGGAGGAGGUGAGGCUUGAACGGAUUAGGCAAGCUGGGCGGCGGGCUGGCUGUUCCGGCGGGGAGAGUGCGGCUUGUGCCAAGGUUUGCGGGCGGCGUGUGCUAAGAGACCGUACAGCGCCGGGAGCGCUGCGGCACGGAAGGACGAAAAGGGUCUGCGCGCGCCCUCGGCGCCGCCUCCACCCACGCCCUGCACGGGGCCCGCGCCAGCCUCUUCUCCACACUCUUCCCGCAAGGCCCAGCCCAUAGUCCACGCGGGGCAAGGGAGCGAGGCCCGUGGCGCAGGGACAGCAGCCCCGGGUGCCCGGGAGGGGGCGCAGACGCCGGCACGUGCCCGC